UUAUACAAAUAAGAAUGGGCGGAACUAAGAACGGUGAGUGUCUGCAGAACACAAGAUCCAGGGGGCAUGGUUGGAUCCACAUCAAGGGGUGGAGAUUGAUAGGUUUAGGGAUCAGGGGGUGGAGACAGGUAGGUUUAGGGAUCAAGGGGUGGAGACAGGUAGGUUUAAGGGUGGAGACGGGUGGGUUUAGGGAUCAAGGGGUGGAAACAGGUAGCUUUAAGGGUGGAGAUGG